AUUGAACGCUGGCGGCAGGCCUAACACAUGCAAGUCGAGCGAGCGGCGGACGGGUGAGUAAUGUAUGGGGACUGCCCGAUCGAGGGGGCUAACUACUGGAAACGGUGGCUAAUACCGCAUACUAUCGGAUAACCCAUAUGGGAUUCGCUAGUAGGUGGGGUAAAGGUGCCCCUAGGCGCCGCUCUAUAGCUGGUCUGAGAGGAUGAUCAGCCACACUGGGGCGGAGACACGGCCCAGACUCCGACGGAGGCAGCAGUGGGGAAUAUUGCACAAGGGGCGCAAGCCUGAUGCAGCCAUGCGGCGUGUAUGAAGAAGGCCUUAGGGUUGUAAAGUACUUUCAGCGGGGAGGCGUUACCCGAAGAAGAAGCACCGGCUAACUCCGUGCCAGCAGCCGCGGUAAUAC
rnacentral:rRNA from 1 species